UACGUAGGGUGCAAGCGUUAAUCGGAAUUAUUGGGCGUAAAGAGCUCGUAGGCGGUUUGUCGCGUCUGCCGUGAAAGUCCGGGGCUCAACUCCGGAUCUGCGGUGGGUACGGGCAGACUAGAGUGAUGUAGGGGAGACUGGAAUUCUUGGUGUAGCGGUGAAAUGCGCAGAUAUCAGGAGGAACACCGAUGGCGAAGGCAGGUCUCUGGGCAUUAACUGACGCUGAGGAGCGAAAGCAUGGGGAGCGAACAGG
rnacentral:rRNA from 1 species